CUGAGUGACCCUGUUGUCAAUCAAAACAAAAUUUUGCAACGGAAUGCCGGUCAUGAGGCACUGAGAUUGCACUCAGAAACUUGGAACCUAAUGCCUAACAUGAAACAGAAAUCCCAAGAUGUAGAUGGAUGCAGUUAUGUCUUCUUUGACUUUGGAAUUUUUGAAGUACAGCUUCUGGUUGGUUAACUUGUUUGCACCUAAGUACAUGGAUCUCAGCCACCAACAGUUUGUGUGACCACCACCACACACGUAUGAGCUAGUGGGACAUUUAGAGCAGUCGCCAGUAUAACACCGCACAGUAGCAUCAAGCACUCUAGAACCUUCAAACAUUUUGGAUGUGGACGUAAUAACUUGGCAGAUCCAGGAUUUCCCUCGACAUCUGGUAAACUGUAGGAGGUGCCGUCUUGACCGGAAUUAGCUACAAGUGAGAACUUCUCUGCAUCUAGCCUCUUCCAUUGUGUAUUAGAUGAACUUGGCUGACUGUUUGAAGACUGUGUUUCAUGCUUUAUUCCCUUGUUAUGGGGUCUGUUACCCGCUUUGAAGCAAGAUUUACGUCGAUUUUUGCCACCUUUCAUGUUAAUUUACAGUACCAUUGACUGAUAAUUUAUGAUGUUCUACAUUUUCUUGCAUUAUUUAUAU